rnacentral:misc_RNA from 1 species
UGUGGGAGCGAGCCUGCUCGCGAUGGCGGUGUGUCAGCCGACAUCAAUGUGCUUGGCAGGCCGCCAUCGCGAGCAGGCUCGCUCCCACA